GACGAACGCUGGCGGCGUGCUUAACACAUGCAAGUCGAACGGAAAGGCCCUGCUUUUGUGGGGUGCUCGAGUGGCGAACGGGUGAGUAACACGUGAGUAACCUGCCCUUGACUUUGGGAUAACUUCAGGAAACUGGGGCUAAUACCGGAUAGGAUCUCCUGCUGCAUGGUGGGGGUUGGAAAGUUUCGGCGGUUGGGGAUGGACUCGCGGCUUAUCAGCUUGUUUGUGGGGUAGUGGCUUACCAAGGCUUUGACGGGUAGCCGGCCUGAGAGGGUGACCGGCCAAAUUGGGACUGAGAUACGGCCCAGACUACAACGGGAGGCAGCAGUGGGGAAUAUUGCACAAUGGGCGGAAGCCUGAUGCAGCAAAGCAGCGUGCGGGAUGACGGCCUUCGGGUUGUAAACCGAUUUCGCCUGUGACGAAGCGUGAGUGACGGUAAUGGGUAAAGAAGCACCGGCUAACUACGUG
rnacentral:rRNA from 1 species